GGGGUUUAAAUACCGGUUCCCAUAUGAUCACCAAAGUUAAGCAAUUUUGAGCCUGGUCAGUAAGUACCUAGAUGGGUGACCACUUGAGAAUAUCA